rnacentral:rRNA from 1 species
UUAACACAUGCAAGUCGAGGGGAAACGACAUCGAAAGCUUGCUUUUGAUGGGCGUCGACCGGCGCACGGGUGAGUAACGCGUAUCCAACCUGCCCACCACUUGGGGAUAACCUUGCGAAAGUAAGACUAAUACCCAAUGACGUCUCUAGAAGACAUCUGAAAGAGAUUAAAGAUUUAUCGGUGAUGGAUGGGGAUGCGUCUGAUUAGCUUGUUGGCGGGGUAACGGCCCACCAAGGCAACGAUCAGUAGGGGUUCUGAGAGGAAGGUCCCCCACAUUGGAACUGAGACACGGUCCAAACUCCUACGGGGAGGCAGCAGUGAGGAAUAUUGGUCAAUGGACGAGAGUCUGAACCAGCCAAGUAGCGUGCAGGAUGACGGCCCUAUGGGUUGUAAACUGCUUUUUAUUAAGGGAACUAAAAGUGAAUCUCGUGAGACUUUUUGCAUGUACCUUAUGAAUAAGGACCGGCUAAUUCCGUGCCAGCAGCCGCGGUAAUACGGAAGGUCCGGGCGUUAUCCGGAUUUAUUGGGUUUAAAGGGAGCGUAGGCCGGAGAUUAAGCGUGUUGUGAAAUGUAGACGCUCAACGUCUGCACUGCAGCGCGAACUGGUUUCCUUGAGUACGCACAAAGUGGGCGGAAUUCGUGGUGUAGCGGUGAAAUGCUUAGAUAUCACGAAGAACUCCGAUUGCGAAGGCAGCUCACUGGAGCGCAACUGACGCUGAAGCUCGAAAGUGCGGGUAUCGAACAGGAUUAGAUACCCUGGUAGUCCGCACGGUAAACGAUGGAUGCCCGCUGUUGGUCUGAAUAGGUCAGCGGCCAAGCGAAAG